GAUGAACGCUGGCGGCGUGCCUAAUACAUGCAAGUCGAGCGAACGGACGAGAAGCUUGCUUCUCUGAUGUUAGCGGCGGACGGGUGAGUAACACGUGGAUAACCUACCUAUAAGACUGGGAUAACUUCGGGAAACCGGAGCUAAUACCGGAUGAUAUUUUGAACCGCAUGGUUCAAAAGUGAAAGACGGUCUUGCUGUCACUUAUAGAUGGAUCCGCGCUGCAUUAGCUAGUUGGUAAGGUAACGGCUUACCAAGGCAACGAUGCAUAGCCGACCUGAGAGGGGGGUCGGCCACACUGGAACUGAGACACGGGCCAGACUCCUAAGGGAGGCAGCAGUAGGGAAUCUUCCGCAAUGGGGGAAAGCCUGACGGAGCAAAGGCGCGUGAGUGAUGAAGGUCUUCGGAUCGUAAAAAUCUGUUAUUAGGGAAGAACAUAUGUGUAAGUAACUGUGCACAUCUUGACGGUACCUAAUCAGAAAGCCACGGCUAACUACGUG
rnacentral:rRNA from 1 species